CCUACGGGAGGCAGCAGUGGGGAAUCUUGCGCAAUGCGCGAAAGCGUGACGCAGCAACACCGCGUGAGGGAAGACGGCCUUCGGGUUGUAAACCUCUUUCAGGAGGGACGAAGGUAGGCCGGUGAAUAGCCGCGUCGACUGACGGUACCUCCAGAAGAAGCACCGGCUAACUACGUGCCAGCAGCCGCGGUAAUACGUAGGGUGCAAGCGUUGUCCGGAAUCAUUGGGCGUAAAGCGCGCGUAGGCGGCCCGAUAAGUCCGCUGUAAAAGUCAACGGCUCAACUGUUGAAAGCCGGUGGAUACUGUCGGGCUAGAGUACGGAAGAGGCAAGUGGAAUUCCUGGUGUAGCGGUGGAAUGCGCAGAUAUCAGGAGGAACACCUAUAGCGAAGGCAGCUUGCUGGGACGUUACUGACGCUAAGGCGCGAAAGCGUGGGGAGCGAACAGGAUUAGAUACCCGUGGUAGUCCACGCCGUAAACGAUGACGAACUAGGUGUGGGUAGGUGUCGACUCCGUCCGUGCCGUCGCUAACGCAUUAGUCCUCCGCGUGGGGUAGGUACGGCCGCGACGACGUAAACGUUAAACGUAAGUAGACGGCGUGAGACGUCGCCGACGGACGACCGACGACGGGAGGUUAGG
rnacentral:rRNA from 1 species